AUGACCACGGAGCAAGCAAUUUAUCUCGUCUUGGCUCUCCUCCUGCCUCUCCUGCUCCUCAAGUUCAUCAGGAAGCGCGGCCACGGCGCUGGGCAGCAGCUGCCGCCUGGCCCUUGGCGGCUACCGGUCAUCGGCAGCCUGCACCACAUCACCGGCAACCCACUAGUCCACCGUGCCUUCGCGGACAUCGCGCGCCGGCUGGGCGACGCGCCGCUAGUAUACCUCAAGCUCGGCGAGGUGCCGGUGGUGGUGGCCUCUUCUACCGAGGCCGCGCGCGAGGUCAUGAAGACGCAGGACGUCACGUUUGCGACGCGGCCGUGGAGCCCCACCACCAAGAUCAUCAUGUCCGAUGGGGUCGGGCUGGCGUUCGCGCCCUACGGCGCUCACUGGCGCCAGCUCCGCAAGAUCUGCAUCAUGGAGCUGCUCAGCGCCCGCCGGGUGCAGUCGUUCCGCAACGUCUGGGAGGAGGAGGUGACGCGCCUCGUCGCCGUCAUUUCAGCUAGUACCGGCGAGCCCAUCAACGUCAGCAAGCGGCUCGCCAUGCUCAUCGCAGACAUGACCUUGCGCGCCAUGAUCGGGGACAGGUUCAGCAAGCGGGAAGAAUUCCUGGAGGUGCUCCAACAGGGGGUCAAGAUCCUUUCGGGGUUUAACCUCGGCGACCUCUUCCCCUCAUCCUGGCUCGUCGGCUUCGUUAGCGGCUCCGCCCGACAGGCGUGGGAGAAUCACACCAAGGCCUUCGAGCUCAUCGACUGCGCCAUCAAGCAGCACGAGGAGGUGAAGGCCGCCGCCGCCGCGUCCAACGGCGGCGGGAAGGAAGGGGAGCAGGAGGACCUAUUGGACGUGCUCCUCAGGAUACAGAAGGAAGGCGGCCACGACGUCCCUUUCACCAUGGGAGCCAUCAAGUGUCUAUUAGUGGACCUGUUUAGUGCUGGGAGCGAGACGUCGGCGACGACUCUCAUCUGGGCCAUGUCAGAGUUGAUGAGGAACCCAACCACCAUGGCAAAAGCACAAGCCGAAGUACGUAACCACCUACAAGGAAAGCCAAGCGUAACUGAGGACGACCUGGCUGACCUCAAGUACAUGAGGCUGGUCAUCAAGGAGACGCUCAGGCUGCAUCCGUCGGUGCCCCUACUGCUGCCGCGCGAGCCCACCGAGGCGUGCAAGGUCCUCGGCUACGACAUGCCGACGGGCACCACCGUGUUUGUGAACACGUGGGCGAUCUGCCGAGACCCCAAGCACUGGGAUGCCCCAGAGGAGUUCAGGCCGGAGCGGUUCGAGUCGGGCGAAGUGGACUUCAAGGGAACCAACUUCGAGUACACACCGUUCGGGGCAGGCCGAAGGAUCUGUCCGGGGAUGCUGUUCGCGCAGUCUAGCAUGGAGCUGGCCCUUGCUGCCCUCCUCUACCACUUUGAUUGGGAGCUUCCUGCCGGAGGGGAGUUGGAUAUGGAGGAGGAGAUGGGCAUCGCCGUCGGCCCGAAGAACGACCUGUAUCUGUAUGCCAAAGUCGUCGUGCUGCUUAAUUAA
rnacentral:rRNA from 1 species